rnacentral:rRNA from 1 species
UGGGGAAUCUUGCACAAUGGGGGAAACCCUGAUGCAGCGACGCCGCGUGAACGAUGAAGCCCUUCGGGGUGUAAAGUUCUUUCGACAGGAACGAUAAUGACGGUACCUGGAGAAGAAGCUGCGGCUAACUACGUGCCAGCAGCCGCGGUAAUACGUAGGCAGCGAGCGUUGUUCGGAGUUACUGGGCGUAAAGAGUGCGGAGGCGGCGAGCCAAGUUUGGUGUGAAAUCUCCCGGCUUAACCGGGAGGGUGCGCCGAAAACUGGUUGGCUGGAGUAUGGGAGAGGAAAGCGGAAUUCCUGGUGUAGCGGUGAAAUGCGUAGAUAUCAGGAGGAACACCUGCGGUGUAGACAGCUUUCUGGACCAAAACUGACGCUGAGGCGCGAAAGCGUGGGUAGCAAACA